AAGAAGAUCUGUCUGUCUUCUGUAUAUACCCUGUAGAUCCGAAUUUGUGUUAAGAAAUUUUGUGGUCACAAAUUCGUAUCUAGGGGAAUAUGUAGUUGACAUAAACACUCCGUUCAUUUUUU
rnacentral:miRNA from 1 species